AACGAACGCUGGCGGCAGGCUUAACACAUGCAAGUCGAACGCCCCGCAAGGGGAGUGGCAGACGGGUGAGUAACGCGUGGGAACAUACCCUUUCCUGCGGAAUAGCUCUGGGAAACUGGAAUUAAUACCGCAUACGCCCUACGGGGGAAAGAUUUAUCGGGGAAGGAUUGGCCCGCGUUGGAUUAGCUAGUUGGUGGGGUAAAGGACUACCAAGGCGACGAUCCAUAGCUGGUCUGAGAGGAUGAUCAGCCACAUUGGGACUGAGAAACGGCCCAAACUCCUACGGGAGGCAGCAGUGGGGAAUAUUGGACAAUGGGCGCAAGCCUGAUCCAGCCAUGCCGCGUGAGUGAUGAAGGCCUUAGGGUUGUAAAGCUCUUUCACCGAUGAAGAUAAUGACGGUAGUCGGAGAAGAAGCCCCGGCUAACUUCGUGCCAGCCGCCGCCGUAAGAC
rnacentral:rRNA from 1 species